CAGGUGCACGCGCUGUCAGACUCACUCCUCCUCGACGCUGCCUGGUGGGCCCAGGUGUGGCUGUUACAAUGCUUCUGUCCCUCAAGGCGACUCAAAAUCCUUCAGUGCUUCGUUACUUUAUUCUUUUCACUGGUGUCCACUCUCUGCGUAAGGAGGGCUGACUGUAAUGAAAAAAGCCAGAUCUGAUGGACAGCGUCAAUGAUCAGUUGUCCGACCCCCUGGCCUACGCUAGCUCUGGCCACAGAGCAGUACUGCCCGGGAAAUUGGGGUCAGGCAGACCCAUGUGUCCCCCACAGUGCGGUCCCCUGUCUUCCUACCAUGCCAGCUGCAGGGGCCUGAGGGUCGCUUCACGCUGGUCCCCAGCCGGCUGGGGUUCUUCAUCAUCUCACACACUCGGGCUCUCCAUGCCUGGUGUUAAGAUCCACUUUCUUCCCUUCCUGACACAGAAUUUAAACAUACUCUUUUCUGUCACUUCCACAAUGUCAAUAUAUGACUAGCUGACUAAUCCGAUGAAUUGGUUAAAGAGGAUGUGUUCACUGAUUAAAGUACAUUCCAAUACCAACGCUCCGCAUGCCGCAGAAAUCCGAGUCUAGUCCCCAGUAAACCCCAGAGCAUGCAGUCCCCUUUGCAUUGCAGCACAGGCUGGCCAGUCGUCGGCCAGAGCGAUGUGUGUCAGAGGCACUCAGCAAUGUCCCUGGUGGCAGAAAUGACCUUCCCAUGAGCAGUUCUGAAAUCUGGGCCCCUGGCUAAAGCCAGUUAUUGCAGAAGAGCAAUGAAUCCUGGACAUCAGUGGCCUGUCUCCCCUCAGGCAAGACCGUGCAUAUUAAACCAGCCAGCCAGGCCAGGGCGGGCCUUCCAAGUUGAAAUUACAAAUACACCCACGACCUAGGAUGUCUACACAGUUAAAGGGCCAUCUGUGCCGAGCCACUGAAAUGAACAAAGGGGUCAAGGAAGCGAUGGAAAUCCUUAAGGAAAUGCAGGCCUUAGGCUGGCGUGGGGAAGACCGCACCACCGAGUUACGACAUGCACUACUGGUGCGUUUUAAUGAUCCCGUGUAGAGAUGUAGCUGUUCAUUCUCCGAAAUGAUGUUUCCACAGGAAUUCCUGUUACUGUGCGUUAAUGCCAGACCCCUGAGAGAAUUGUAAAAGCCUCUCUGGAAAGCCUGGGACGCUGACCAUCUCAGCGAGGUCACGGCUGCUCUGGCUUUCAGGCAGUUUCUGAAAGUGGGAGCCAAGGACCCCUGGCCAUGUUCGAUGCGUGGAUCCCAGGCCGUGCCAGGACCCCACAGGCCAGAACGCGGGGAGUGAGGCCGGGGCCCUACAUGUCACAGGAAGUUCUAAGCCAUCCUCCACUCGUUGGAGCUGUUGUUCUUCCCACUGCAUAAUUAAAAGGAAGAAAAAAUAGAGCUAGCUCAUCGCAAAAAUUAGCCCUGGUGAUGGUAUGAAGUUAUUCAAAUGAAGUAUC